rnacentral:rRNA from 1 species
AUUGAACGCUGGCGGCAUGCCUAACACAUGCAAGUCGAACGGAAACAGGACGCUGUGAUCUCUUCGGAGUGAACUUGUCGCUGUCGAGUGGCGGACGGGUGAGUAAUGCAUAGGAAAUUGCCUCGAAGUGGGGGAUAGCCCGGAGAAAUCCGGAUUAAUACCGCAUGCGCUCUACGGAGCAAAGCGGGCCUCUGAUUUAAGCUCGCGCUUUGAGAUAUGCCUAUGUCGGAUUAGCUUGUUGGUAGGGUAAAAGCCUACCAAGGCAACGAUCCGUAGCUGGUUUGAGAGGAUGAUCAGCCACACUGGAACUGGAACACGGUCCAGACUCCUACGGGAGGCAGCAGUGAGGAAUUUUGCGCAAUGGGGGAAACCCUGACGCAGCAACGCCGCGUGGGUGAAGAAGGCUUUCGGGUCGUAAAGCCCUGUCAGGUGGGAAGAACCGUUUCGAUACUAAUAAUGUCGAAGCCUGACGGUACCACCAGAGAAGCACCGCCAACU